UAUACAUAUAUGUAUUACUGCAAAGUCAGCAAUCCUGAAAUGUAAUGAAUUUAGUUGUGAACUAAUCAUAAGGAAUUAUUUUCAUGACACAAAUGUUGUCAAUUUAGAAGCUAUUUAGAAUAUGAAUCAUAAUUUUUCAUGGAUGCAUGGAUGAAGAAGUUGACAAUGGUUGUCUAUAAUAUAUCUGCAAAGCGCUUAGAGACAUCGUUGAUGUAGUAAGCCCUAUAUAAACGCGGAAUAUAUAUUAUAAACCAGUUAACUAUUUAGACUCAAAUUGCAAGGGCUUUAACGUUUUGAGCUUUGAUAUCAUCUGUUGGGAGCUAGAAGGGCACUAACUCUGUGUUUAAAAGCAUACAAGUUAAAACGCCUUUCUGCCUCUCAACAUACUAUAUAAUGUAGAAUAAUCAGCAGGAGUGUUACUGAAUCAUGUGCAAAGAAGUAAUUAUGUCAUUACAAACAGCUAUUAUUAUUAUUACAUGUAAUUUGACCAACAUUCAAUCAUAUUUUGUGCGGAGCGACAACAUGUAAGUCCAAACAUUUCAUGCAUUGUAUACUGUAAAAGGUGUAUAUAAAACAAUGCAAUACAAUGUUAUUGUUCUAACUCUCAUUUUGGCAAGUUUAGAGCAUGUUUAUGUUAUAUUGUAUUUCAAAGGUACAUGUAAUGCAAGCGAGAAAGACCCUGUUGUUUUGCAGUAUCCAGUUUAUAUUAUUAACAUACCGUACAUGUAAUAGUAUACAAAUGUGUAUUUGAUUAUUCAUGUAUACUGUAAAUUAAAUAUUGUGAUAUCUUUUAAGCAGUGAAGGCAUAGUAAUUGUGAUUGUUCAUUCUUAUUGGCUACUCAAUAAACUGCCUUGUGCUUUGUGAACAUAUAUUCUCUAUUGCUUCUGUCUACAUUGAAUGGUGCUUAGGGUUCGGUAGCUGUAGUGAUGCAUAUUGUAUAAUGAUAUUGUGUAUUUUCUUACUUCUUUUUAACUUGUUUGGUAUCUCUUCAUAUCACUCUUUAAGUGUCCCCUUUCUUGUUUGGAGUCUCUGGCAUAAAGAUAUAGUUAGAUGAAACCCCCAAAUCCAACGCAGGUCCUCUGAUUGGUACUUGAUGGUCAAGUUGCGUUUGACCUUUGAAGAUAUGUUAUUGACUUCUUGUUUUGGCCGUUUAUCAUCACCAAAUUGUCAUUUUUAUUACCGGUAGAUACUUUUCCUACAAAAUUUAACCGACUUCUCCAUCUAUGUAUUCAGUCAGUGUUUCUGACUGUAUCACUGCAACUUUUCUUCCCCUUUUAAUUUAUCUCUCUCCAUAUUUGUAUAUGAUCUCUUUUUAUCUUGUUACUCACUUUGCUUUGUUCUCUCUCUCUCUCUUUUCCUUGGCUGUGUAUUUGGCUUUCCAUCACACAUACCCUGUACUUUUAAUUUUCUACACAUUUCACAACUUAUUAUCUCUGUCUUUCUUUCUUCCUCCCUAUCCUUCUACUUCCCUCCCCCUUCUCUCUCUCUCUCUCUCUCUCUCUCUCUCUUCCUAUCAUUUCCCCAAUUACAUCUCUCUUUCCAUCACUGGGUUACAACACAAUUCUCUCUCUUCCCCCCUUUCUUCCUUCUCUUUGACUUCCUAAACAUAUCCAUCCCUGCACUAUUCUUUUCUUCUAUAAUUUGUUUUAAAAUGUUCUUUCCCUUGUGUACACAUCUAUAUCUAAAUGAAGAAAGAACAACAAAUAGAGACAUUCAUGUAAUUUUUAGAUUCUUUAACAGUGUCCAUUGUGACAUACACAGCAACAAAAUAUAAAUGUGCUACCAAAGGAACAUUAACAAAAUUUGUACUGAAGAUUGUUUCAAAAUUAUUACAUGUGUUGAUAAAUAAUCAUAAGUUCCUUACACCUUUUGAUCAUAUAUGUUUUAUAUAACCACAUUCUUGUAAAGUACAUGUACAAAAUACACCAGUAGCCAAAUAAACAAGGAUUCAUUUUUGUGCCUAAAAAAAUUUGAUAUACAGUUUGUAUUAGCUGCUUGUUAUUUCAAUCAUGUUUCUUAAAAUAUUCUGAUAGCAUAUUCAAUUGCGUUUCUUAUAUUUAGAUUUUGUAACACAUGAAAUAUUUUUAGCUUUGUGAAUCAAAAUACAGAAUCUACAUAAAGUGAAAUACAUAACAUUAGUUUUUUUCCAUACAUAAACUUGCAUAUUUUCUUGUAUGAAAAUAAAUGGUACAUGUACAUAUAACUUUCUUUGAAUUGAUGCACAGUAAUUACAAAAGCCAUCAUAAAAAUAGUGUGUUUCGGGUACAGUGUACUCUAAUUAAUCCACAUUAUUUUCAUAGAUUUGCUUUUUUUUCAUCCAUACUGUAGUAACCAUACUGCAGUAAUAAGUCAUAUACAUGUAUGUUAGACAAUUAUAGUAUUCUUGUAAAAACUAAAUGGAAUAACACAGGAAAGAUUGUAUACACCUUUAUCUUUCUUUAAUAAGCUAAUCCUUAUGAACAAUAUUAAUACACACUGUAACAAGAAAUAAGCAUGGCAAGCCAAACAAUAAAAGGUUUACAAUCGGCAUUCUCUAUUUGGAUGGAUCAGUAGAAUAAAACAAUUCUACAUCUUUCACCAUCUCUAUCGACUGUUUGUCAGUGCAAAUACAUAUUCACCUCAGCCGUAGAAUCAAUUAGUAUGAUCUGUCAUUUAUACUCUAUGUUACAGCUCAUUUUCAUUACAAAGAGAAGUUUAAUUGAAAAAGUGUAACAAAUUUAAGGAAAAGUAUCUAAACUAAGUGCAUGAAAACCUCACAUUAAACUAACAA